UACGAAGGGGGCUAGCGUUGCUCGGAAUUACUGGGCGUAAAGGGCGCGUAGGCGGACAGUUUAGUCAGAGGUGAAAGCCCAGGGCUCAACCUUGGAAUAGCCUUUGAUACUGGCUGUCUUGAGUUCGGGAGGGGUGAGUGGAAUGCCGAGUGUAGAGGUGAAAUUCGUAGAUAUUCGGCGGAACACCAGUGGCGAAGGCGACUCACUGGCCCGAUACUGACGCUGAGGCGCGAAAGCGUGGGGAGCAAACAGG
rnacentral:rRNA from 1 species